CGUGCCAUAGUUCAACGGUAAAACGCCGGGGCUCUCAUAAGGCCCUGGAGUUGGAGGGUUCGAUCCCCCCUGGCAUCACAA
rnacentral:tRNA from 1 species